UCAAAAAAUUUAGCCACGGUGUCCAUAUUUUACGGUAGCUGUGGCUAUUAUUAUGUAUUAGUAGGGAUAGCUCUUCCAUUUUCCUAAUUUCUUCUAUUUUUAUUAGCCAUUCCUUGACUGUUGGGGAGGAGGAAGACUUCCAUUUCUGGGGAAUCAGCGAUUUUGCCGCCUGCAGGAGAUGUAAGUUACUCCAUCUGGAAAACGAUCCUGGUUCCCUGCUUGGUUUGAAGUCUGCAUUGUACAUCAGGGGCUGUAGUACAUAAGGGUACAAAGCCGGAUUGGUCCGGGUGGAUCAGGAAUGGUUGCUCCCUAUUGAUAUGAGUUGGCCCCUCAGGACGCAUUUUACCGUCUCCCAAAGCGUGCAUGGAGAAAUUGUGUUGGUUGUGUUGUCUUGUACUGUUUGACUUAUGCAUAGUCUGAUCUGUUCUUUUAUCUUUUCUUUGUGUAAGAUGUAAUCGUUCAUCCUCCAGGUGAAUUCGGGUUUUAUGGUGUUGGGAAUGAUAAACUUUGUUGAUAUAGGUGCAUGAUCUGAUAAUAUUGUAUUGCCAAUGCUAGUAUUUGAAAAUAAAUGUAACCAAUGUUGGGAUGCUAAU